CUUGGUCAUUUAGAGGAAGUAAAAGUCGUAACAAGGUCUCCGUUGGUGAACCAGCGGAGGGAUCAUUACCGAGUUUACAACUCCCAAACCCCUGUGAACAUACCUAUACGUUGCCUCGGCGGAUCAGCCCGCGCCCCGUAAAACGGGACGGCCCGCCCGAGGACCCUAAACUCUGUUUUUAGUGGAACUUCUGAGUAAAACAAACAAAUAAAUCAAAACUUUCAACAACGGAUCUCUUGGUUCUGGCAUCGAUGAAGAACGCAGCAAAAUGCGAUAAGUAAUGUGAAUUGCAGAAUUCAGUGAAUCAUCGAAUCUUUGAACGCACAUUGCGCCCGCCAGUAUUCUGGCGGGCAUGCCUGUUCGAGCGUCAUUUCAACCCUCAAGCUCAGCUUGGUGUUGGGACUCGCGGUAACCCGCGUUCCCCAAAUCGAUUGGCGGUCACGUCGAGCUUCCAUAGCGUAGUAAUCAUACACCUCGUUACUGGUAAUCGUCGCGGCCACGCCGUUAAACCCCAACUUCUGAAUGUUGACCUCGGAUCAGGUAGGAAUACCCGCUGAACUUAAGCAUAUCAAUAAGCGGAGGA
rnacentral:rRNA from 1 species